rnacentral:lncRNA from 1 species
GGUUCGGCGCGACCGGGCGAACUUUUGGCUUUGAUGGGGUCUAGUGGUGCUGGAAAAACAACCUUGUUGAAUUCGUUAACUUUUAGAAGCGACCGUAACGUGACCGACACCGGAAUCCGGGCCAUCAACGGCGUACCAAUCAACGGCAAAAUGUUGACUGCCGUGUCCGCGUACGUACAACAACACGACCUGUUCAUUGGGACUCUAACAGUCCGGGAACAUUUGGUUUUUCAGGUGAGAAUCGUUUAACUUUUUAAAAAAAAAAAAAACACUCUAUGAUGGUAUCAGUGUUGUAUAAUGCUUCAAAAUCAAAAAGCGGGUUAAAACUAAAAUAUGUAAUCUGAUUUUAAUCAUCGAUUAGUUGGUGAAUUUCGCUCACAGCGUAUAAUGAAAUAAUUUUUAUGAAUUGAGUCCAAAAAGAUAAAAUUAUACUUAUCUAUUAAUUUUGUACUAAAACGUUUCUAAACUUGAUCGCAAAACGAGCAAAAUAUUCAAGUACCUAAUUCAGAAUCGACUGAAAAACAACUUUUCGAUUAUCUACAGCAUUGGUGACCAAUUACGGUCCACGAGGCCAAUCCAACCCAUGAUCAUUAUUAAUCAGCCAACCAAAGUAUUGAAUCAAAAUUGAAAAAAGAAUAUAACUUCAAAUUUCAAAAAUUAACAUUAACAUUAAAAAAGGACAUGUUUAUACUUUAAAUUUUUUUUCUUAUUUAUAACAAUCAAUAUAUAAUAAAUAAUUAAAUAUAUCACUGUACCCAUAUUAAAAUGUACCUACAGUAAAUUAUAAUAUUCUAUUAACUUUAAAGUAAAUGUUUUAAUUCUUGGCUCACCAAGAAUUAUUAUUAUUUUUUUGUUAUGUCCCUCUGUAAAAAAGGGUUGGUCAUCUACACUGAUCUACAGCAACGAUUCCCAACGUGUGAUCCACGGCACCCUGGGGCACCUCGAUUAGGUGUAGGGGCACGGUGUAACCAUUUUGAAUAUUUACUGGUUUAAAAAUAAAUUUAAAACUCAAAUCACAAAUCGAUUUUAUUUACCUUGGUUACCUUUGGCUACACAAUGAGAUAAACACCGCUUUACAAAAAGUCGUCUGAUCAGAAUAAGUUUUUGAUUGUAAUAAAACGACAAAUAUUUACGGCGUGCAGCAACGUUACCGAUUUCAUUGUUUUUAAUUUUUGCCAACUAUGUUUUCUACUAGGAAUAUUGCUUUAUUCAAAAAUUACCAAGUAAACUUUUUUGUACCAUUUCGGAUCUAAUUUUUCACGAUGCAGGUAGUUUUUUAUGCUUCCUGUAUUUUUUUUUUAGUAACUGAGAAUAAAACAAAUAAAAAUUGUAAAGAGAACUAACGAAUUAAUGAAAAUUAUGCUUUUAUUAGUUUCAAUUUUGUUUUUUUGUUGUGAUUCAUUUUAAAAUAUUGACAGAAAAAUUAAAUUUGCCUUUUCUAUACAUAGUAAAAUUAUUUAAAUAUUUUCUCGAUUUUUGAGAUAUUUAUAAGCAUUUUAUAUUUGUAAGUUUUUUACGUAAUUUAUAUUUGGUAAGUACUCUGUGGAUAAUAUUUUUUGACUAAACAGAAAUGUUUGAAAAUUUAACAGGAAAGAGAUUCAUUAUAAGUUGUAAUUAAUAGUAAAAAAAAAGUUAAGUGUAAUGUAGUAUUUUUUUUUUUUUAUAUAUAUAUAUAAGAAUUUUAGUAUCGGAUUUUAACGAAAAUCGUUAAUAUUACGGCAUUUUAAACAUGUUUAACAGAACUCUACUCAGAAUCGUUUUUCGUUACCAAUAGUUUAUCGUUAUUCAGAGAUUGUUAAAUAACUAUGUAUUUUAACUUCCUAAGGUACAACUUACAAUACACCUGUCCUCAAGAUCGGUUCUUUUUUUUUUAAAUGGAUGUCUACAACUCAACUUUGAUAAUAAUAUAAUAUUGUAAAAAUAUCAUUAAUCUGUUGAUAUCUUGUUGAUACAGAUUGAAACAAAAACCAUUUAUAUUAUUUAUAUCAUUAAAUCUCUAGGUAUGUAAAAGAAUGAUGUUAUUAAUAUUUAUGUUGUCGCUUUUAAAGUGUUAUUCUGGAAAUAUAAAUAUACUUAAUAGUUUAUUUUGUAUGACUAAUUUUAAUAUUUAUUGCAUAAUAUGAAUGUAACACUAAUUUUAGGUUAGUUUUUGAAAUUCUCAAACAAUAAUAGGCACGAACUUUGCUUUUGUUUAUGGAUAACUCUGAUCUAUUGCUAUGGUGGGAUCUGUUAGCAGUGUUUGUGAUACCAUACCUUUCCAACUUUUUACCUACAACUGUUACCAUAUUAUUUUAGAGGGGAAUGUAUAUAUUUAUAAAAAAGUGUAUGCAGGGUUAAGGUGGUGAGGAGUUUAUAGGUAUGAGGAGAUUAGAGGGUGUGAGAAGUUUAAGGUUAAGUUAGAUAAAGGUUGAAUUAGGGGGUUAUAAGUAAGGGGAUGAGGGUACUAAGUAGAUGAAGGGUUAGGAAUAACAUAAACAGGGAACGUAUUGUUAGUUCAGAAAUCAGCAAUAAUAUACAUACUUGCUUAAUUAUUUACUAAUACUUAAUUAUCAAAUAACUACUUAUCUAACUAUUUUCGUUACAAAGCUAUAGACGGACAAAGCCGGGUAAUACAGCUAAUAUUAUUAUUAGGUAUAAAAUGAUAGAAUUAAAAAAAUUCUAGAACCGGUAUUCUACUUAACAUGUAUAUAAAUACACGUUUCGUGUUGGUGAUCCGCGCGCAUGACCUUGUUCAUCUCGUAUAGGUGUAAUACGCUAUUGGACUCUUACGUAAUCGUAAAACUUCCGUUUUGCCACAUUAUUAUAUUGGUUACCGUAUAGUAUAAUAAUGAACUUAAAAAUCAUCAAUUAUAUCAUAUCACACUAUGUCAGAUAAAGAAAUGUUCUAUACGUUUGUCAUCCACCGUGGAAAAAAUGAUGAGAUGCAUUUACGAGUAGGACGUGCCCUAAAUUAUAUAAUAUAUACCUACACGUAGUCGUUUUUCUUAAGUACACUAAUAUCAUUGUCAUUGCGUUAAUUUUUGGGGAUUAUAAUUUUGAACACGUGAUUUUCGACUAUUCAAAUUUUGUAUUUGCAAUAAUUUUAUAUAUUUACUAAUUCCAAAUAAGACAAACAAUGAUAUGAAUUUAAAAAUCAAGUGGUUGUUUUUCAAAGCUAAUAGCCAAGUAAGCAAUAUCGGAAUUUUCUCUAUUCGUAACUAUAGUAAAUAGUAAUUGAAUUUCAAAAAGUACGAGUAAUAUUAACGAUCAACACUUGUAUAAUACCGAGAUUUAAUGUGUCAGUGACCGCAGUUAACCUGUACGUCGUCGUUUCCACGCCGGUUUCUUGUUCUUUUUAAAUUAACGUAAACCAGUGUUAUUAUGUAUAUAUACUUAUUUAAAUACAUUUUAUAACUUUUUUUUCUGCCUAGUAUAUUAUAUGAUUUAAACGCAUUUAUCCGAAUAUUUAAAAUGUAUUUUCUACAUCUAAAAGAUUAUAUAAGAUUAUAUAAAUUACCUAUAAUACCUAUGCCAAAUAUUUUAGAACUUCAAACCUACAUGUAGCUAUGGCCUAUUAUUAUUAAUAGCUAAACAAUAUUACUAACGACAAAUAAUAAUAUAGGUAUAUCUAAUAAAUAAUACAGUAAAAUGUUUCAAAUUAAAUUUAUUAUAUGAUUAAAUAUUAAACAAAUAUGUUUUUAUUUAGACAGAUAAGAUAUGGCUAAGAGUCAAAAGUCAAUUUUUGAAAAUGUUACGCCACUUAUAGUGAUUAAUACUUUUGGAAAAAUAUUAAUGUAUAUUUUACUAAAUACCUAAAUAUCUAAAAAAUUUAAUCGGAAUUUUAUAAACCUAUAUUUAAUAUUAUACUCGUAAUCAUAUAUCAUAUUAUUUAAAUACAACUAUUAUUUGUUAUAUUGUACUUAAUUUAUAAAUGCAAAAAAUAUACAAAAAUAAAUAAUUGUAUUUACCUUAAUAUUUUUCUUUUUCAUUUUGAAAUUUAAUUAUACUAUGUAAUAAUAAUAGUCUCAAAUAAGCAAUAUAAAUAUUGUUAUUGAAAUUUAUUUUUUUUUUUUAACUCUUAUAACUGCAGGCAUUGGUGCGAAUGGACCGUCACAUACCGUAUGAAAAACGAAUGGCUCGAGUCGAAGAAGUCAUACAAGAGGUCAGUAUCAUAAAAAACAUUGGUGUGUACAAUUACACAUUCAAUAAUAAUUUUAUUGUAUUUUUACUCUAUCUGCAGCUAUCGUUGACAAAAUGUAAAAACACAAUAAUAGGUGUGACCGGAAGAAUAAAGGGUUUAUCAGGCGGUGAAAUGAAACGUUUGUCGUUUGCUUCCGAGGUAAGAAACAAUCGUAUAAGACAAAAAAUAAUAUUUUCAAUUAACAUUACUACGAUGCACAAUAUCAUAACAACUGGCAGUAUUUUUCGCAUGAACAAUAAGAAAACUACAACACGUCAACACAACGAUGUGAUAUUAUUAUUUUAUAACAUUUUAACAUUGUAUUCAAAAAUCAACUACCUAUACCAAUACACUUUAAACUGUUUAUAAACGACGAGUAUAACAAAAAUAUAAACAUUAUAAUAUUCUAUAGACGCAGGCGAGGAUUUCGAUUUUAUUUAAAAAAAUGUUGGACACCUCAUACUCGUCUAUUAAAUGGAUAGAUACACUAAAUCAGUAGCGUCCCAAAACCCAUUUAUAAGGGGGGGGGGACGAAAUUCAUACAUUAUAUGUGUAUAUAUAAAUAUAUAAACAAACUAAUUACUAGGUAGUUUACCAGGUUUCACUUGGGGUGUAUAAUAUCAUAUAUGGCAUAUUAUAUAGAUUCGAAAAACAGUGUAAUAAUUAAAAUCAAAAUGUUUAAAAUUGCACGUAUUUAAGUAUAAAUUAAUAAUAGAAGUAAUUUUGUAAUAAAUUGAGAAAACACAAUUUAUAAAUUAUAAGUACUUAUUUACAUCUCAUUUAGAGUUUUAUAAAAAAAAUAGUUGAACCUGAAUAUUUGAUUAAAGAAUGAAAUCGACUUUGUGUUUUAAUUAAUCAAUUAAUUAUAUUAUGUUAUUUGUAUGUAAUAGAAUAUUAUUAUGAAUAUGCAUAAGCACCAAACCGAUCAAUCGUGCUUUCCCUAUUUGAUUUCUCAGCCAAGUUUUUAAUCUAAUAAGCAUAAAAAAACAAGGAAAUAAUUAUAAAGCAAAAACAAAAAUAUGAUAAAAAGCUUAAAAAAUAUAAAUAUAAAUGGUCAAAUAUUCAUUUAACACAUAAAAUUCAUUAUUUAUAAAAGUAUUAACUUUCUUUUGGGAAAUUAGUUCAAAUAUACAAGAAAUUUGAUAGGAUAUUAUAGAUUUCUGGUAUUAAAAUUAUGGGUUUUCAUUUAAAAAUCAAAAGUUGAUACUCAUAUAGGGUAAAACAAGAUAUUAAAAAUAUCAUACCACUAAAAAGUUCAACAUUUUAAUAGUUAAACUAAUUUCCCAAAAGAAAAUUCCAAAAAAGUGAAUUAUAUUCAAAUGAAUGUUGUGUUGUAUCAGUCUGUCUGUACCUAUAUAGGUAUGUGUAGCUCAUAAUGGAUAUGUUUCUGUGUUUUAAGUUUAAUAAAUCUAGUUAUUAUAAUAUUUAAUACUCAGUGGGCAUUAUACAUUUUCUAAUUAUUUUACAUAAUAAGUAAAACUUCUGUUUAGUUCAAUAAAUAACACAUUUUUAAACUAUUUUAUUAAACUACAACUUUUAAUACAACAUUUAAGUAAUUUAACAAACUAUUUAUUAAGCCCAAGGGAAUCACUGAUCGCGAAAUACAAGAAAUAAAUAUAAAAUAAAAUACGAUAAUAGUGCCUACGUACUUAGAGUGAUUACUGAUCAUCCAAUUAUUAUAACUAGUAUAAUGUUAGAAAAACGUUAUAUUAUUAUUUGUAUUUUUUCAUAAAAAUUGUCUAUAUAAAAUCCCUUAAAAAUUGUUCUCCAUGUAGAGGCUGACAAAUUUGUGAUAGAAUACAGUUUUUAUAAUAUCAAUCUAAUAUAGGUGUUGACAGACCCUCCGUUGAUGUUCUGUGAUGAGCCCACGUCGGGACUAGACUCGUUUAUGGCUCAAAAUGUAGUUAGCGUACUUAAGUCGAUGGCGUCUAAGGGCAAAACGAUAAUUUGUACCAUUCACCAGCCGUCUUCAGAAGUAUACUCUAUGUUCGACAAGAUAUUGUUGGUGGCCAGCGGCCGAACGGCCUUUCUUGGUACACCAAACGAAGCCAUCGAGUUUUUCAAAACGUAAUAGUAAUAUAAACAGUUGAGGUAAUAACAAUAUUUAUUUUUGUUCGGUUUUUCGUAGGCUCGGCGUCAGUUGCCCGAAGAAUCACAAUCCAGCGGAUUUUUUCAUCCAACUACUCGCCAUCGUACCGUCUCAAGAGCGGUGCUCGUACGACACCAUCGACACGGUUUGCGAGGCGUACGAAAGUUCGCAAUACAAGCGCGACAUGAUAGAAUAUCAAAAACGGUUGUCUUCGAAUGGCAGGGUAAGAUUCUAUAAAUUAUGACUUCGGGGGGGAGGGGAGCAAAAUAAUAUAGCCCUUUCUCGACUUAAAAGUCAGCACUUGAUAACACAAAAUAAAUAAAAAAUUGGACAUAUUUUUGUGAAAUAUAAUCUUCUCAUAAUUCUUCUCAUUUACCUUCAUCCCAACUGUUUAGGAUCGGCCAUUCUAGUCUUAUACUUCCACAUGAGCCGAUCUUAUAUCACUCAUCAACCGGCUGUCCUCAUACCAUUCUUAGUCGCAUCUAACUACUUUUUUUCGAUCUUCCUCUCUCCUUCUUUCCUCCUGCGUCUAUUUUCAUUACAAUUCUUACUGCUUCUGAUUCCUCUCUCCUUAUGGCUGCCCAAACUUUUUCAUUCUAUUUUCUCUAAUUUUGUCCACUAUCUAAGCUAUACCUAAGUUACCUCUUGUCUACUCAUUUAUUAUACUAUCUGCUCUUAUAACUCCACUUAUUUACCUAAGCAUUUUUAUCUCUGCUACACUUAUUAUCUCUUCUAUUUUAUUAUCGACCGCUCUAUACUCCAAACCAUACAACAUAGUCGGUCUCACCACGGUUUUGUAGAACUUACCUUAUAAGUCUUAUUGGGAUUCUCUUAUUACAUGAAAUGGCAGACGUUAGACUUACCCAACCACACUUAAACUUAUAUUUCACAUCCUUGUCAAAGUUACCGAUCUUUCGUACAAAAUAUCCUAGGUACUUAAAUACUAUCAUGUAUUACUUAUUGUUGUUAACUGUCUUGUCCUAUUGUUACAAACUCAUACUCUUAAUACUUUGUUUUACAACUACUUAUUCUUAGUAUCUUUUAUACAAGUGCUACUCUCCAUUCCACAAGCCUAUUACUAACUUCUUUCGAAUUUUCUCCUAUCAAAGCUAUAUCAUCUGCAAACAUCAUGCACCAUCUUCUCAUUUGCUGUUCUCGCUUACACCCGAGAUAGGAAAACCUACUCAAGUCUUGUUUAGAACUCCUCAUACUGUUUGACAGAAUUUUACACCAGCUAUCAACCUGAUGCAAUUCCAUUUGUCGCUUCUUACAAUAAAUAGUGGUCCUGUGGGAGUGUUCUCCUUCAAGGAGAAUGAUAUUUUCAACUAUAAGGUGAAUUCCUCUACCUUACAGAAACAAUAUCAUAUAAAUACUGGAAUCACCCACCUGGAAAUUCCACCAGUUAGAGCUCGGGACCCCGGAUUUACUAAACCCGUAGCAUUAUAUUCCCCUCGUGUGGUUAAAUACCUGUAUAUAUAAUACUAGCUGAAUUACCUGGCGUUACAGUUAGCAUUCAGUUAUGAAUCAGUCAAGACUUCUUCUUUUAACCUUACCUAACCUAACCUUACAUAUACAGAUAUAUAUUAUUAUUAUUUGUGACAACCAAAUUAUCAACUAUGUCAUCAAGGUAACCUUUAAAUCAACAAAUAAAAUUGAAUUAAUGUUCCAAAAUUACCAAAAAUCCAACUGCCGGCUAGGUGUGCCAUCCGACGUUUUCCGGACCAAUUUUUUUGUUAUUUCAUCUGUUUCACCAAUGAUCAUCGUCUCGUGAUUAAACUAAAAUAAAUAAAUAAAAAUUAGAUAUCCGUACAAAAAAUACCUUAAAAUUCUUAAUUUACCACCUUAGGGGUUAAAUUUUCAAAAACCCUUUCUUAGUGGAUGCCUGCAUCAUAGUAAUAGUUAUCUGUAUUCCGAAUUUCCGCCCAACCCAUCUAGUGCAGUGGUUUGUGUUCGACGAAGAUGAAUCAUUCAAUCAGGACAUGUUAUUUAUAAAUAAAUAAAUAUAUAUAUAUAUAUAUAGAGAGAGAGAUGUAUAUUAUAUGUAGACAGUAAGAAUCACAAUGCCAAUUAUGAUGAAAUAAUCUUAAGAAUUACUUUAUAGUUUAUAAAGAAUACAAUAAUUUUUAAAAUGUUAUAUUGUAAACACGUUGAACAAAAAAAAAAAAAAAAAAAACAAUUUAAUACCAAUUCAUUUUUUGUAACUCAAUAAGUUUUUUUUCUUUGCAGGAUUCGUUGGAUAAAAGUAAUUGGGACUCAGAUGGUUUACAAAACGUUUCGUCACCGUACAAGGCCUCAUGGACUGAACAGUUUUCCGCCGUGUUUUGGCGGUCGUGGCUAAGUAUAAAAAAAGAACCGGCUCUCACCAAAAUCAGGCUCAUCCAAACUAUUGUAAUAAUGAUAUGUGGAAAGGAUCUCGACUUUAUCUAAUCCCCGAUGCGUUAUUUUUUAGAUGGUUGCCGCUCUGAUAAGUUUCAUAUUUUACAACCAGCACUUGGACCAGGACGGUGUAAUGAACAUCAACGGGGCGCUGUUCAUGUGCAUAUCUAACAUGACGUUCCAAAACGUACUGGCAGUCAUAAACGUGAGUACCAUUAAAUACUAUGGCUAGAAAACAAGAUGUGUGAUUGUGUCAAGUGAUUAAAUGGAUGAGGAAGAAGUGGUUAUGAGGGCACAUGAAGUUUAACAAAGAUAUGAUGAUGGAGAUAUAGAGAUAAGGUAGCUGAUCUCAAACUUAAGUGGGAUAAAGACGAAUUCACUGACUUUAGUUUUUGUUUGAAUGGAUUGUGUAAAAUCAUUUUCCUAUUAUAUUUCCAUGGUAUAACAAGAAUUUCAAAACAUUUUUUUUUUUCUUGGCUUGCGGGUGUUUCCUUCAAAAUACGCUCCCGAGUAUACAAACCUGUGUUUUUACCUCUGCAGGUAUUCUGUUCCGAACUACCAGUGUUCAUGCGUGAACACCACAAUGGCAUGUACCGAACGGACGUGUACUUCCUAAGUAAGACAUUCGCCGAGAUACCUAUAUUCUUGGUGAUACCAGUACUGUUUACAUCCAUCAUGUACUAUAUAGUGGGUCUAAAUCCAAAGUUCGUUCAUUUUCUCACAGCCGUCUUAUUCAUAACGCUCGUCAGUUUGGUAGCCGUUUCGUUUGGUAAGUGUAUAAUUUCGGCCCAAACCUAACCUAACCUUGUAGGUACUGGUCAACGUUAG